rnacentral:rRNA from 1 species
AGAACGAACGCUGGCGGCAGGCCUAACACAUGCAAGUCGAACGCUCGUAGCAAUACGAGAGUGGCAGACGGGUGAGUAACACGUGGGAACCUUCCCUUCGGUCGGGAAUAGCUCAGGGAAACUUGAGGUAAUACCGGAUACGCCCUUACGGGGAAAGAUUUAUCGCCGUUGGAUGGGCCCGCGUCGGAUUAGCUAGUUGGUGAGGUAACGGCUCACCAAGGCGACGAUCCGUAGCUGGUCUGAGAGGAUGAUCAGCCACACUGGGACUGAGACACGGCCCAGACUCCUACGGGAGGCAGCAGUGGGGAAUAUUGGACAAUGGGCGCAAGCCUGAUCCAGCCAUGCCGCGUGAGUGACGAAGGCCUUAGGGUUGUAAAGCUCUUUUGGCGGGGACGAUAAUGACGGUACCCGCAGAAUAAGCUCCGGCUAACUUCGUGCCAGCAGCCGC